rnacentral:misc_RNA from 1 species
GAUGAAGAACGCAGCGAAAUGCGAUAAGUAAUGUGAAUUGCAGAAUUCAGUGAAUCAUCGAAUCUUUGAACGCACAUUGCGCCCCCUGGUAUUCCGGGGGGCAUGCCUGUUCGAGCGUCAUUUCACCACUCAAGCCUCGCUUGGUAUUGGGCAACGCGGUCCGCCGCGUGCCUCAAAUCGACCGGCUGGGUCUUCUGUCCCCUAAGCGUUGUGGAAACUAUUCGCUAAAGGGUGUUCGGGAGGCUACGCCGUAAAACAACCCCAUUUCUAAGGUUGACCUCGGAUCAGGUAGGAAUACCCGCUGAACUUAAGCAUAUCAAUAAGCGGAGGA